rnacentral:rRNA from 1 species
AAGGCGGCCGAAAGGCUAGACGGUGGGAGAGGGUGGUGGAA